rnacentral:lncRNA from 1 species
GCUAAAUGGCCUGAACAGUUCCUUCCUUCCCCAGUGUCGUGCCGCGAGGCCUCCGAAUCCCUCCUCAGCCCGGUCAAGUGUGCUUCGCGGCGCCCAGCUCGGACUGUCUCGGGCUCCGGGCGGGGACGCCGCGGCGCGUGCUCUCCCCGCGGCCUCGCGGAAGCCCGCUGGCCGAGAGGGGCCGAGGACAGGCCGGGGAGCUGUUUGGAGAGAACGCCGGCCCCGCGCGGAGCCUGGCCGGUCCACAGGGGGAGGCUCCGGAACCCGGCGCUGACCUUCCGUGGAAGCGGCGCUGCGAGUGUCGUCUGCGGACACCCGGCCGCGCCCGCCGGGGGAGGCGGCCUUCGUGAGGGCUCGCCCCUUUCUCGCGGGUGGGCGCCCGCGCGGCCCGUCCGGAGCGCGAGCGGCGGGCGCGGCCUCGGGCGUUGGCGGCCGGCCCGCGCGGGGAAGGGCGUCGGCCGCGCUGCUUCCUGCGUCACGGGGCGACGGGGCGCGCCGCAGCCCUCUCAGGCCGGAGACCGCCGGGAGGCCCGCGGGCCGGGGGAGCUGGGCCACGGCCUCGGAGGAGAGAGGAAGCGUGCUCCCCCGCGGCGGGCGGCGCCGGACGCCCAGCCAGGCCGCUUCCGCCCGCGCCGUCUGCGGCCGUUGCGCGGCGGGGGCUCUUCCGGUGCCCGGUGCCCUCUUGGUCGCCCGCUCCCCUUAACCCCGCUGCGCCGCCCUCCCUCCGGAGAGCCUGCUCAGCGCCGCUGCCAGCUCUGCGCCCGCCGCGCUCCGUCGGCCUCGGAGCCUGGCGCGGCCGCCAUCUUCUGGCCUCAGGUCGCCGCCCGCGCGCCCGCUGCGCUGGCGCCGGGAGGAAAUGGAUGCCGGCCUCGGGCUGGGUUGCUGGUGACGGCGGCGGGGUCUACCUCACAGGGAGCCGAGGGAGUGGAGGCGUACCAGGAGGGCAGUUUACACGGGAAUUGCAAAGAAUUAGACGAGAGGUUAUCUUCCACCGAACAAUGGGCGAACUCCCCGCUCGUGAGUGACUCCCGGUGCUCCGAGGCCUGCGGUGUUGAGGAGUUAGAACGUUUCCCUGCCGGGCGGGGUCCGAUUCUGCACUCCCGGCAGGACUCUCAGUCCUGGCCCCCGACACAGCCUGGACGGUGCCCUCAACACCCCGACGGCCGAGGAGCUGGAGCUUCCUUACGCCUCAGAACACUUAACCUCCAUGUAAAUCACGCUGCAAUAAGACAAACCCAAAGUGAAAUGGAAGACCGUCUACUGACACGGAGAGAUGAGCAUCAUGUGUAG